ACGGCAAUACCACAUUGAAAACACCGGUUCUCGUCCGAUCACCGAAGUUAAGCAAUGCCGGGCCCGGUCAGUACUUGGGAGGUUGAUCACCUGGGAACACCUGGUGCUGUAGGCU
rnacentral:rRNA from 1 species